UCCCUUCAAGAAUCUGAGGUUUGUGAGGGGAAAGGCCUUGUACAUCUUGUUCACUGCCACAUCCCUAGAGCCUAGCACACAGUAGGUACUAGGUGGGUAUCUGAAUGCUGUGCAAAUGGUCUGGUAAUGUGCUUUUACCCCUUUCAUUUAUUAACAAAAUAUCCCCAAGAAUAAAUUGAAUCCAAAAGUAAACUCCUGAA